AGUUGCCUGGGGCACUUCCAGGGAUGGGACAGCCCCAGAUUCUCUGGGCAGCCUGUGCCAGGGCCUCCCCACCCUCCCAGGGAGGAAUUCCUUCCCACCAUCCCACCUAAACCUAACCCAAGGAUUUUAAUUU